AGAUGACUUACCAGAAAACUAUGAUGAUGUCGUCAUUAUAAGACAGUUCUCCAAUGAUAAAGCAGAGGGUGUUCAGGAGGAGUAUGAUGAUGUGAAGAAUUUCAGAGAAUAUAUGAGUGACGUGUUUGACUAUGAUGAUGUGGAGGAGGAUCCAGGAAAACAGGCGGGAACUGAAUAACUCAAACCACACACACUGUUUCAAAUCCUUCUAAAGCUUUUAAAGUUUUAGCAAUCUUACUGUAUAAGUUUCAGUUGCAAUAGAACAGUGUUUUGUUACAUUCUGUAUUAAAAUAUACAAUUGCAAUCUUUGACAGAGAAAAAUGCUUUGCUUUCAUGACCUUUUCAAAAGGUGCUUGACUUUUUCCAGAUGCUUUUACAAAUCUUUUCUAUUGUGUA